ACCAGUGCAGCCCCACAGGGACCAGCACGGGGGUGGGGGAGGCUCCUGGGGCCGCCGAGGGUCUGGAGAAGCCCUCAGGCCCCAGGGCCCACCCAGGAGGCGUCGUGUCGCCCGCUCUCUGCUGACCUGGAAAGCGGGGCGCAGACCGGGACACAGACCUCGGCCCAGCCCAGUGUAGGCCUUGGCUGGCAGACUUGCCCCCCGCCCCAUGACAGGUGACAUCCGUUCAUUGUGGAAAACGCGACAAGCAGACAGCCUUCCCGGGAAAGUCAGGCCCCCGGGAUCUCACCACCCACCAGCAACCCGGCCACAUCUUGGGCGCAGCUGCUCCAGAACUGGGCAUGGUUGUGUGUUUUUAGAAACCGCACCCCGUGCCGGCCCCCCUGGUGACCUGCUUUUCUCGCUGAGUGCGUUGGGAGUAGCUGCCUGUACCCCCACGUUCCCGGGGGGAGUUUGCCAAGAGCUGAGCCGCCAGAGGGGGCCCGGCUGACCUAGAAUGUCAGAGGCUGUGGCUGUCCUGCUGCUGCGUGAAGAGCUGUGGGGAGUGUGUGCUCUGUCCCCAACGGUGAGGGAGCAGAGGUUGGGGGGAGCCCACAGGGAUGCUGUGACCUGGAUCUGGGGCUAAGCUGAGUUUUGGGUGACGUCGUAAGGGUACCUGGUGACCAUGGGAGACGGAGAGACUGCUCAGGGAGGGCUUCCUGGAGGAGGUGGACCGCGGAACGUUACGGCGGGAAGUAGCGCCCAGCGAUCUGUUCGCUCAUCUGACGUGGCUGCUGGGGGCCUCCGGGUCAGCGCUGCGUGGACAGGCUGCCAGGCCUGGGAGAGACGGGUCCGCGCCCAGGAUGUGGGUGUCUGUUCCGCACUGCAGUGGUGGAAGUGUGGACGGUGGGGGUCCAGGGACCCAGGGCGGGCUUAGCAUCCGGCCCAAAGGCACCAGACCGUCCCCCAGAGUUUGACCCAGUCCAGGUCCCUUGGCCUUCCAGGAGCUCCUGGAUGACCCUUCCAGCGUCCCAUACCAACAUGGGCCCCAGCUGUCACCCAGAAGUCACGCAGCUUCUCAGGGACAGGGCUGGAACCCAGCUGAGCAGGGGAUGUCGCUUACCUGGCCAGGCCUGGCUUUCCUCCGCUGUCAGUGGUGGCACAGCCUGCCGCGCCCACCCAAGCCAAGCCGACAGAGGCUCCCGCGAGGGUCCCCACCCCCCAGCCAAAGGGGUUGGGGUGCCUUCAUGCAGGGCCAGCCCGGCACCAAGGCAGAGCUGCAGCUGGACGGUGCUGGGAGUGUGGCAGGGAACCCGGCAGAGGCCCCCUCCCCGCAGCCCCCAGAGCUCCUCGAGGCUGAAGCCAUGUGUUUGGGAGUCGAAUAGACGCGGGUGUGAGUCACAGCCCCUCCGUGUCCUGGCUGUGUGACCUUGGGCUGGUUCCUGGCCCUCUCUGUGCUUGGCGUCCUCGUCUCUACUUUGAGGAUAAUAGCGGCUCUGGUUCUGCCCUGAGGGCUGGGAGAGGCGACCCACGCGUGAGUGCCUGGCGCGCCGGGAGCAGACGAAAGCUGCUGCUGUCGUCUUGGUGCCCAGGGGACCCAGGGCGGAGUCCUCGUCGUCACUUAGGUCCCUGGCUUGUGUUCAGCUGCCAGCUUCAGCCUCUGGAACCGCUUGGCCCUGGUCGCUCACCGGCCACACCACUGGCGUUCUCGGAGCACCUCCCACGCGACAGGUGCUGGGGGCUCCCCGGGAGGCAGAUGCUACGGAUCCUCGUGGGCGGACUGAUGGUACAGUAGGCGGGGUGGGGGGGACCCAGUCCAAGAGGAGGUGACCUUGCGCAUUUUCCUGGUGACCCCAAGGAGGCACCACCCUAAAAUCGUGCAAGAGGGAGCACCAGAGACCUGGUGGGUGCAGGUAGCUCCCAUGCUCUAGGACUGCUGGGCGUGAGGUUUGGGAGCUGGGAAGGUGGGCGGAGGGCACUCUUGAGUGGCAGGCUGGGGAGACAGGCCAGGAGGGGUCCUAGCAGGGGACAGAGUAGGGAACGACGGAGGGGCAGGAGGGGCGGAGUGGCCUCUGGGAGGAGGGCUGGCCGUGCAGAGUGAGGGCAGGGAGCCCCAUGGCGGCCGGGGGCCCGCAGGCUGAAUCAGGACUUUCUGAGCGUGAGGGCAGCCUGGGACCUGGAAGCAGCCUCAGCCUGGCCAUUCAGCAGGCGGGUGCCCACCAGACAGAGGGACCCUGCACUCUCAGAGCUCACCGUCCAUGGGGCAGACAGAAGUGAGUCAACAAAUACACCAGGGAGAUGAUUUCAGAGGGUGAUGAAAGUGAGGCCAGCAAUCAGCGAGGGCCUCCUGGAGGUGGUGGCUUUUGGCAAUGAGAAGACCCAGGAGGAUGGUGAUCCAGGGAGAGGGAUUGGCAUGUGCAAAGGCCUGGGGGUCAGGGCGCCGCGGUGGCUGGAGACCGUGAGGGAGAGGGUGGUGCCCCAUGUAGGGCAGUGUGGGCUGAACUCAGGUGCCAGGCUGAUCCACGGGCACGGUCUUCCCUCUGCCAGCGAGGCCCCACCCGGGCAGGUGAGCAUGCCCCCAGCACUAGCUUCCCUGAGUGACCUUGAGCAACUCGCCCACCCUCUCCGAACUUCUGGGCAUUCCUGUGUAACACACACGGGACAAGAUGCCUGCUCGGAGCCCUCCCAGCUGUGGACACUGCUGUGACCUUUCUUCCCCCUGACCCCUGCUCUGGAUGGGGGCUCGGAAGGGGCAGGUGGGACAACUCAGUGGAACUAAAGAGCCCCUGGGCACAGGGUGGCUGAUUCGCUCCUUGAUGCCCCAGACUCCUGCCCCCCUUUGGCUCUGGAGCUGAGGGACUGGAGCUGAGGCCCCCUGCCCCGCCCCCCAUGGUGGGCCGCUCCGCAACCCCGCUGCUCCAGGAGGGUCCCUGCCACGCUGGGAGUUCGUAGCCAGGAACCUGAGGCCGUGCUGAGCUGAGUCAUCUCACACGUGGUCUCAGACGGAGGCCUUUCUGGAAAGAAGUUCUCCCCCGGGACUCCACGCCCUAUCAUCCAAGUGGGCUAACCGGCAGCACUGUGGCCCCCGAGCGCCUCCAGGUCCUUCCUUGCACCCCCCACUCCCCAGCCAGCCAGGCCCGCUGGGGGCGAGGCAGCCCUUAGCAGCAGGGGGAGGGAGGCGGGUUUAAGACGAGCCGUGUGCUGAGCAUGCUGACCAGCCGGCAGGUCUGGGAGAGUCCUGCGCUCGGCCGGGGGGGGGGGGCGCCGCAGCCUCUGGGGGCCAGGAUACGGAGGCACCCGAGGUCCCGGCAUGCCUGGGGCAGAGACUCGUGGCCAGAGUGUUUUCUAUGUCACAGAGCCAGAGAGCUCGCAGGGACUGGCCACGGAGGGCCCGGAAAGCCUGGUGUGGGAGUCAGCACGGGCAGGGUUGCCGCGUGACGAGCAUCCCCCGAAGAUCAUCCCAUUUAGGGGCUCACCCCUGCCUGGCACCGUGAGUGUGUCCGGAGGCCUUGUGUGGGGGGCCGAGUCGGUUCUGCUUUCUGGUCACUGAUCACGAGCAGAGACGGGCACGGAUUGCAAGCGAAGGAUAAAACCAGUCGCUCGCACAGCUGGAGAAAGCCUCCCCCACCCCGUGUCCCACGUCCCCGUGUCCUGGGUCGCCGUCCCCCGGGAUCCGCGUAGCAACGUGUGACCUCCUUCCGAGCAGCCUCGGGGGUCCAGCUCUGAGACUCGCCAGGGGCACGCGGCCAGCGUGGUGCCUUCCUUGCUGCGGGCCGGUCCUCUCAGAACCCCGGGCAGCUCGCGGUCCUGUGACUGAGCCCGGCGGGUCAGGUGCACGGGCCGUGGUGCCGGGCGGGGCACGGGCGUGUCUGUGUGUCUAGAGGUGGAAUCACCGUGUUCUCAGGGUGUUUAAGAAGGACCCCUGGACACGGGAUGGGGGGACCCAGGCAGUGGUUGGAGCCAGGCGAGGCAGGGCUCUGGGCCCCCUCAGCCUGGGAUCGAGAAACACCCCCUGCCGUCUGGCCUCCCUUGGGACCUGGAGUUCGAAGGUCACGUAGAGUCAGUCCUGAAGCAGGGCCCAGAGCCGCGGGGCACGUGUUCCGUGGGUGACCGUGACAGGGUGUGCUCGUGCGCAGGCAGGGGCGGCCGUGUGGCCUGAGGCCCAGGUCACAUGUGCCAGGCGCACAUGCGGGGAGCACCCCGAGCCCGGCUGACACCUGGGUAGACCGAGGCCCCACGGGGGUCGGCAUGGGGGCUUCUGGGGCAGCUGGGACCGUCUGAGCCCCACCCUGCUCCCCGACCUGGGGGUGUGGGCGAGGGUCCAGGCUCACGGGGUCCCCUCUCGGGUGGCAUCUCUUUCUUUGUUUUUUUGUUUUU
rnacentral:lncRNA from 1 species